rnacentral:rRNA from 1 species
GAUGAACGCUGGCGGCGUGCCUAAUACAUGCAAGUCGAGCGAACGGACGAGAAGCUUGCUUCUCUGAUGUUAGCGGCGGACGGGUGAGUAACACGUGGAUAACCUACCUAUAAGACUGGGAUAACUUCGGGAAACCGUAGCUAAUACCGGAUAAUAUUUUGAACCGCAUGGUUCACACGCGCCCCCCGGCCUUCCUGCCCCUCCUCGCUGCAUCCCCGCUGCAUUCGCUGGGUGGUAAGGCAACGGCGUACCAAGGCAACGAUGCAUAGCCGACCUGAGAGGGGGAUCGGCGACACGGGAACUGAGACGCGGUCCAGGCUCCUACGGGAGGCAGCAGUAGGGAAUCUGCCGCAAUGGGCGGAAGCCUGACGGAGCAGCGCCGCGUGAGUGAUGAAGGUCUUCGGAUCGUAAAACUCUGUUAUUAGGGAAGAACAUAUGUGUAAGUAACUGUGCAGAUCGUGACGGUACCUAGUCAGAAAGCCACGGCUAACUACGUG